rnacentral:ncRNA from 1 species
CAAAGUUUUGGUCCUAAACUUGCCCUUGUUUUUAGCCGAAAUUACACAUGCAAGCCUCCACCAGCCAGUGAGAAUGCCCACAAACCCCUAAACAGAAAGCCGGAGCAGGUAUCAGGUUCGAAUGCACAGCCAAUAACACCUUGCUAUGCCACACCCCCACGGGCCCUCAGCAGUGAUUAACAUUAAACUAUAAGCGCAAGCUUGACUUAGCUACGGCUAAUAAAGUCGGUAAAUUUCGUGCCAGCCACCGCGGUUAUACGAAAGACUUAAAACAAGGCCCUGCGGCGUAAAGCGUGGCUAGAGACAUGUCAUACACCUAAAGAAGAACCGCCACCAAGCCGUAAAACGCCCCUACGAACGGGAACCAACACAAAUCUUUAGACCAAAAGGCCACUUACCCCCACGAAAGCUAAGAAACAAACUGGGAUUAGAUACCCCACUAUGCUUAGCCCUAAACACAGACAAUACAAACACAACAUUGUCCGCCAGAGAACUACAAGCGAAAAACUCAAAACUCCAAGGACUUGGCGGUGCUCCAUAUCAACCUAGGAGAGCCUGUCCUAUAAUCNNNNCCCCCCGUUGAACCUUACCACCUUUCGCCAUUCAGCCUAUAUACCGCCGUCGUCAGCCUACCUUAUGAAAGAGACGCAGUAGGCAAAACAGUUAACAACGAACACGUCAGGUCAAGGUGUAGCACAUAAGAUGGAAGAGAUGGGCUACAUUUUCUAUUUCAGAACACACGAAUGAUACAAUGAAACACCAAUCUAAAGGCGGAUUUAGUAGUAAGGUGGAUAAGCAACACCAUCUUAAACCCGCUCUGGAGCGCGCACACACCGCCCGUCACCCUCAUCAU